rnacentral:lncRNA from 1 species
AUGUUCUGCUUGUCUUCUCACACAGAAAGAUAUUUUCUCAAAUACUUCACACCAUACUCCUUCCAACAGAGACUUUGGAAAUGUCAAGUCCCAAGGGAUUUCUCUGAUGCCUUGGGAUCCUUGCGAGUGAACCAUUUCUCCUCAAAGCUAAAGAAGGGAAGUUCAUUGCCAGGUUUGAAAUUCUGCAAUGUAGGCAAGGCCCUCAGGCGUGACAACUGUGUUGCCAGAUUUCUGCAAAUGCAAGCCUGCCAAACACCUCCACUCGGAGCCAAGGGCCAAUGGGCAAACCAAAUUUAUUCUUAGAACCCUGGACUCAGGGACGCCUGGGUGGAUCAGGUUAAGUGUCUGCCUUCGGCUCAGGUCGUGAUGCCAGGGUCCUGGAAUCGAGUCCUGCGUCAGGCCCUGCCUCUCUCAUGAAUAAAUAAAACAUGUUUAAAAAAAAAAAAAAAAAAAAAGAAUCCUGGACUCAGAAUUGCCUUUACACUAUUGUCCUCCUGACUCCCCCAACUCACACACCCAAAUUCCCAUUCAAAAUAAAAAAGGAGAGGGAAGCAUGAAAGGAAAGACCAUCAAGUCACAGACUCGAAAACACUAGCAGCUCCUAGAAACCUUAUUAAUCUGAGUCUCACCACACUUAGUAAGUAAAUUCAAUAUGAUGCCUACAGAGUAAAACAGAAAUCAGGAGCAAGGACUGAAGUAAGAGUCCCACUUUUUAGGAAUUCUCCACAGCUCCAAGCCAGACAAAGACUGUGGCUAGUGUUGGGAGAAUAUCAGAAUAAAGAAAAGCAACUCAAAAGAAAUAACCACAUCAGGGCUGUCUGGCGGGCUCAGUUGGUUAAGCAUCUGUCUUCAGCUCACGUCAUGAUAUCAGGGUCUUGGGAUCGAGUCCCGCAUCAGGCUCCCUACUCAGCGGGAGUCUGCUUCUCCCUCUACCCCUCCCAACACUCAUGACUUGUCUCUCUCUCUCAAAUAAAUAAAUAAAAUCUUGAAAGAAGGAAAGAAAGCAAGAAAGAAAGAACCACAUCACACCUAUUAGGAUGGCUAUUAUCAAAGAAAGAAAGAACAAAAACUCAGAAGUGUUGGUGAGAAUGUGGAUAAAUUGGAACACCUGUAUGUUCCUGGUAGGAAAAUAAAGUGGCUCAGCCAUUCAGAAAAAUGGUAUGGCUCUUCCUCAAAAAUUAAACAGAAUUACCACAGGAUCCAGCAAUUCCAUUUGUGGGUAUGCACCCAAAAGAAGGUAAAAGCAAGGACUCAAGCAGAUAGCUGUACACCCACAUUCAGAGCAGCAUUAUUCACAACAGCCAAAAAGGUGGAAGCAACACAAGUGUCCAAAGAUGGAUAAAUGGAUAAACAAAAUGUAGCACAUACACAAAAUGGAAUACUAUUCAGGCUUAAAUGGACGGAAAUUUUGGUACAUGAUACAACAAGGAUGAACCCGGAAGAUACGUAAGAAAAGCCAGA